GCUCGUGUAGCUCAGUGGUUAGAGCUUCGUGCUUAUAGCAACAUUCGGGUUUCCGAAGUUUCUGUGCCGAGGACCUUUCAAACAGGUCUUUAAAAGCAACGCGACCGUCGUGGGUUCAAACCCCACCUCGAGCA
rfam:Saccharomyces arboricola H-6 chromosome XIII, whole genome shotgun sequence.